rnacentral:rRNA from 1 species
UGAGGAAUAUUGCACAAUGGGCGCAAGCCUGAUGCAGCAACGCCGCGUGAACGAUGAAGGUCUUCGGAUCGUAAAGCUCUGUUGCAGGGGAAGAUAAUGACGGUAACCGGAGAAGAAGCCCCGGCUAACUUCGUGCCAGCAGCCGCGGUAAUACGAAGGGGGCUAGCGUUGUUCGGAUUUACUGGGCGUAAAGCGCACGUAGGCGGACUUUUAAGUCAGGGGUGAAAUCCCGGGGCUCAACCCCGGAACUGCCUUUGGUACUGGAAGUCGUGAGUAUGGUAGAGGUGAGUGGAAUUCCGGGUGUAGAGGUGAAAUUCGUAGAUAUUCGGAGGAACACCAGUGGCGAAGGCGGCUCACUGGACCAUUACUGACGCUGAGGUGCGAAAGCGUGGGGAGCAAACAGG